GGGGCCGUGUUCCAACGGGAAGAUGCCGCACUUGCAAUGCGUGCGAUGAGGGUUCGAUUCCCUUCGGUCUCCACCA
rnacentral:tRNA from 1 species